rnacentral:rRNA from 1 species
GACGAACGCUGGCGGCGUGCUUAACACAUGCAAGUCGAACGAAGAGCGAUGGAAGCUUGCUUCUAUCAAUCUUAGUGGCGAACGGGUGAGUAACGCGUAAUCAACCUGCCCUUCAGAGGGGGACAACAGUUGGAAACGACUGCUAAUACCGCAUACGAUCCAAUCUCGGCAUCGGGACUGGAUGAAAGGUGGCCUCUAUUUAUAAGCUAUCACUGAAGGAGGGGAUUGCGUCUGAUUAGCUAGGUGGAGGGGUAACGGCCCACCAAGGCGAUGAUCAGUAGCCGGUCUGAGAGGAUGAACGGCCACAUUGGGACUGAGACACGGCCCAGACUCCUACGGGAGGCAGCAGUGGGGAAUCUUCCGCAAUGGACGAAAGUCUGACGGAGCAACGCCGCGUGAGUGAUGACGGCCUUCGGGUUGUAAAGCUCUGUUAAUCGGGACGAAUGGUUCUUGUGCGAAUAGUGCGAGGAUUUGACGGUACCGGAAGAGAAAGCCACGGCUAACUACGUG